rnacentral:rRNA from 1 species
CACGCCGUAAACGAUGAAUACUAGGUGUAGGGGGUAUCGACUCCCUCUGUGCCGCAGCAAACGCAAUAAGUAUUCCACCUGGGGAGUACGGCCGCAAGGUUGAAACUCAAAGGAAUUGACGGGGGCCCGCACAAGCAGUGGAUUAUGUGGUUUAAUUCGAAGCAACGCGAAGAACCUUACCAGGACUUGACAUCCUCUGACGUCUAUAGAGAUAUAGAUUCCCUUCGGGGCAUAGAGACAGGUGG